CAGGCCCGCGCCUGCCGGGCUGGGCUGGACCCGGCCCCUUCGCCUCUCUCCUUCUCUUUUCACUCAACCCUUGUCCACUCGACUCAGUGACCCCCAGGACAAGAACGAGAGCCUUGGGACCUGUUCCUUCCCUCUUGUGGCUCCGCGGCUGCUGGGCGGCCCUGCCACCUGGCCACAGGCAGAUGUACAGGGAAGGAUGGCAGGGCGUGCUGCACCCACUCCCACACGGGGCCAGCCACAUGGGCCUUAGACGACAAGAGGGGUCGGAAGUGUGGCUGCAUCAGGGGGAGAAUAGGGGAGCAUUCAGGGAGCAGCUGCCGCCACAGUCACCAUUGUGUCCAUGCUUAUGCCUCUCAUCGCGGGCACUCACAUGUGGGUACAUGCCCUCAGCCCCACUCACCAGUGGCUCCUGAUGGUUUCUAAGCUGUCCACCAAGAAGCCAGGUGCCAGCGUGCACGUCUAGGAUGCUCACUGCCCAGCGUGAAGUGUCCUGGUCUCAUUUGGGUACCAGGUCUAAAUCCAAACAGCGGACACACAAGAACCACACAUUCAGAACCAAAACGUGUGCUGUUGACUGUAAAAGAAGUGGUGAAUGAUAGCAUUUUCAAAGUCCCUUCAGAGGCUGGGUGCAGUGGCUCACUUCGGAAAGCUGAGCUAGGUGAAUCGCUUGAGUCCAGGAGUUUGAGACCAGCCUGGGCAACAUGACGAAACCCUGUCUCAAAUAAAAAAACGCAAAAUACAAAAAAAAUGAGCUGUAGUCCCAGCUACUAGGGAGGAUGAGAUGGGAGGAUUGCUUGAGCCUGGGAGGUCAGGGCUGCAGUGAGCUGAUUGCACCACCGCACUCCAGCUGGGCAACACAGCAAGACCCCGUGUCUAAAAAAAAAAAAAAAUGGAAGCAGAACAAAAUAAAGUCCCCUCGGCUCACUGGUUACUCCA
rnacentral:lncRNA from 1 species